rnacentral:lncRNA from 1 species
UCUUAUUCUCUUCCUUAAUCCUAUUCUAAACUCAGAUUAAUCUUUAUAUUCCUAAAAGUCAUAACAAGCUCUUGGACAAGGAGUUUUGGCUUGAGGUUCAUGACACCUCUCCAUCCUCCUUUGCUUCCAAUGAGACUCUCUCCAUCAGGUUCAGACAGCAACGGCUUGAGGGACAGGAUAACACUCCAUGGCUUCAAGUCUCUUCUUCUUCAAGAGCUGAACUCGGAUGGAUAUGACUUCAAGGGUUUGGUUUGAGCUGAGAUGAGAGCUGUGGAUUUGCGGAAGCUCAGCUCAGGUUCUGAUGAACCUGGCUCUGAUACCAUAUGAGAUUUGAGAGCUCUGGCUGUGUAUGUGUAUGAGAAGCCAUUAGAGGCAAAGAAUAAGGUCUUGAACUAGUUGAAUAAGAGGUCUGACGAAACUAGUAUGAACUUGAAUCAGAAACAAAGAGACUUUGAGAGAUUAAGAGAUUAGAGACUAAGAAAGGGGUAGAUUAAGGGAAUCUGAUCAAGAACACACUUUUAUAAUUAUGAAGGAGAUGGGAAAACCCCC